rnacentral:rRNA from 1 species
AACGAACGCUGGCGGCAUGCUUAACACAUGCAAGUUGAACGAGACCUUCGGGUCUAGUGGCGCACGGGUGCGUAACGCGUGGGAAUCCACCCUUGGGUUCGGAAUAACUCAGAGAAAUUUGAGCUAAUACCGGAUGAUGUCGCAAGACCAAAGAUUUAUCGCCCAAGGAUGAGCCCGCGUAGGAUUGGCUUGUUGGUGAGGUAAAAGCUCACCAAGGCGACGAUCCUUAGCUGGUCUGAGAGGAUGAUCAGCCACACUGGGACUGAGACACGGCCCAGACUCCUACGGGAGGCAGCAGUGGGGAAUAUUGGACAAUGGGCGAAAGCCUGAUCCAGCAAUGCCGCGUGAGUGAUGAAGGCCUUAGGGUUGUAAAGCUCUUUUACCCGGGAUGAUAAUGACAGUACCGGGAGAAUAAAGCCCCGGCUAACUCCGUGCCAGCAGCCGC